rnacentral:piRNA from 1 species
UAAUAGGAAAAAUUUCAUUGGCGACCUC